GCGCUGCAUUAGCUAGUUGGUAAGGUAACGGCUUACCAAGGCAACGAUGCAUAGCCGACCUGAGAGGGUGAUCGGCCACACUGGAACUGAGACACGGUCCAGACUCCUACGGGAGGCAGCAGUAGGGAAUCUUCCGCAAUGGGCGAAAGCCUGACGGAGCAACGCCGCGUGAGUGAUGAAGGUCUUCGGAUCGUAAAACUCUGUUAUUAGGGAAGAACAUAUGUGUAAGUAACUGUGCACAUCUUGACGGUACCUAAUCAGAAAGCCACGGCUAACUACGUGCCAGCAGCCGCGGUAAUACGUAGGUGGCAAGCGUUAUCCGGAAUUAUUGGGCGUAAAGCGCGCGUAGGCGGUUUUUUAAGUCUGAUGUGAAAGCCCACGGCUCAACCGUGGAGGGUCAUUGGAAACUGGAAAACUUGAGUGCAGAAGAGGAAAGUGGAAUUCCAUGUGUAGCGGUGAAAUGCGCAGAGAUAUGGAGGAACACCAGUGGCGAAGGCGACUUUCUGGUCUGUAAC
rnacentral:rRNA from 1 species